CUAGUUUUUCUUUGCCUAAACAAUUUUACAGAAUAAUUUUUUAAUCACGUACACCAAUCAAUAGACAACUUGCAUGUUAGACUAAUUUUUGAUCUAGGCAAAAAAAAUAAAUUCCCGUAAAGAACUUAUUACUGAAAUUAGUAAAAUUGCAAAAUUUGGUUACGAAAUGUUGUAAACUGAUACGGAAAAUAUAGCCUUGCAAAUUUUGUAUAUGUUUUUAUUACGUGCGGAAAUUGUUACCAUUUCUGAGCGGAAAAUGGCAAUUUCGGCACGUAAUACAAACACGAAACAUAUACAAAAUUUACAACAUUUCGCAACCAAAUUUUGUGCAAUUUUACUAAUUUCAUUCCUUCUCUUUACUUAGAUUAAAAUUUAGUCUAACAUGCAAGUUGUCCAUUUACAACUGUCAUGUAAUAUCAAUACAUCAUGCACAAUUCCAAAUGAAGAUAUAUAGUCUUAUGGACGUUCUUAGUUAUAUUUAGUCUAACUUGAAUGUUAGAGUCAUUCAGUAUAAUGAAAAGUCAGUAUAUAAUUUGCUCCAUUAAUCUAUCAUUUAUAUACUGUUUAUCAGGAAAACAAAGUAGCACAAGAAAAGGUCUCCAUCAUUCAUAUCAACUAUUCAUGAUUCCGGGAGUCUCAACAAGUUUUUAAUUCUUGCGCAUGAACGAUAGAACCAACCCCAAUAAGCGCAGAAAUAAAAGACAAAACAAGGCCGAGAAAGUUUACAAAUUUCCCAUCCUGACAGUAGUAAUUAUCCCCUUCUCCAUGACAGCCACACAGGUUCUUCAAAAAGCAAACGCACUGCAUAACAGCGCCACAACUGCAACAGCAUGCAAAUAUAAAAUCCAUAGAAUCGAGGCAGCUUCUUACAGUGCCAAAUUUGGAGGAUAUAAUAUCGCCACCAAAGUCGACCUGAACCAGAUUCACUACUCCCUCCAGCACAGAAAAAUUAAGCUCGGGCAAGAGAACUGUUGAGAUGUUGAUUUUCCCAAUAUCGGGUGGUAGGACCUUGCAAAGAACGUUGAAGAAACGAUACAAAAACCACAAGUUAAACAUGGUACCGAACAGACAUGUCGCCGCCUGUAUGUUACCUCGACCAGGAUUUGAAUCCUUAAAAUGGUACCAGCAGAUGCAGUCACAGACAGAAUCAGCUAUAUGGUAAACUGUCAAACAAAUAUACGAAAGAACAAGUGGUCCGUGAUCGUCCAUGAUGGAAUGAUCUACAGAACACAAAGAGGCGAUCGCACUUUAU
rnacentral:lncRNA from 1 species